GUGUGACGUCAGAAGUUACCACGCCCAUGCCCAAAUUGAACACAUUCUCGUUAAUAUUUAAAAACAGGAAGAACUAUAGAGAAGAGAAGACUAGAAUACGAAGGCAAUCAUAAAUGCCCUGGCUGUCUCCUGGCUGGGAUAUCUCCUCACAGGAGGCUGAGCAGGUCUUCCUUUCUGGUCUGGAUUAUCAUUGCAGAAUUGAAGCCAUUCCUGCAGCAACUGGUGGAAAACGGGGGAUCUUUUUGGUGCUUUUGUGCUAUAAAUAAUUUUGUUCUUUCGUAUAAUAUAAAUAAAUACAUAUUUAUAUAUAAAUAAAAUCAUGCUUGAAUCAUU